GCGCGCCGCACCUGCCCCGUUCGCGGGGCCGGGGAAGCCGUUCGAGCAGCGUCGUGUCGCGGUCCGGGACUGUCCUCAGUCCCGGGUCGUCUCGGCGCGGUUCCGAGCGGUCGCUCCCUCGCGAGGUGCCGCGGGUCAGCGGCUGACGCCAGCCACCUUCCCGACCCGUCUUGAAACACGGACCAAGGAGUCUAACAUGUGCGCGAGCCGCGGGGCAGUACGAAACCCGUAAGGCGAAAUGAAGGUGAACGCCGGCGCGGUCCGGCGGAGGUUGGAUCCCGUCCCGUCGGGGCGGGCGCACUACCGGCCGAUCUUCUCCGCCCUGUCGGCGAGGUCGAGCGAGAGCGUGCAAGUCGGGACCCGAAAGAUGGUGAACUAUGCCUGAGGAGGUUGAAGCCAGAGGAAACUCUGGUGGAGGACCGUAGCGAUUCUGACGUGCAAAUCGAUCGUCAAAUUUGGGUAUAGGGGCGAAAGACUAAUCGAACCGUCUAGUAGCUGGUUCCCUUCGAAGUUUCCCUCAGGAUAGCUGGCGCUCUGUCGCAGUUUUAUCUGGUAAAGCGAAUGAUUAGAGGUCUUGGGGGGGAAACGCCCUCAACCUAUUCUCAAACUUUAAAUUGGUAAGAAGCCCGACUCGCUCGUUUGGAGCCGGGCAUGGAAUGCGAGUGCCAAGUGGGCCACUCUUGUAAACAGGACUGGCGAUGCGGGAGGAACCGAACG
rnacentral:ncRNA from 1 species